UGGGGAAUUUUGUGCAAUGGGGGAAACCCUGACGCAGCAACGCCGCGUGGAGGAUGAAAUCCCUUGGGAUGUAAACUCCUUUCGAUCGGGACGAUUAUGACGGUACCGGAAGAAGAAGCCCCGGCUAACUUCGUGCCAGCAGCCGCGGUAAUACGAGGGGGGCAAGCGUUGUUCGGAAUUAUUGGGCGUAAAGGGCGCGUAGGCGGUUUGACAAGUCUGAUGUGAAAUCUAUGGGCUCAACCCAUAGCCUGCAUUAGAAACUGUCGGGCUUGAGUAUGGGAGAGGUGAGUGGAAUUUCCGGUGUAGCGGUGAAAUGCGUAGAUAUCGGAAGGAACACCUGUGGCGAAAGCGGCUCACUGGACCAUAACUGACGCUGAGGCGCGAAAGCUAGGGGAGCAAACA
rnacentral:rRNA from 1 species